AAAAAAAAAAAAAGAAUAUUCAAGUGAUUACAUGAUUACAGAGGUCAUGACAUUGAUUGGCCCUGUUGUGAAGGAAAUGUACUUCUGUCAUCCCACUUGACUCAGCCAGGAGUAAUAUUUGCAAAAUAAUGUAAACUCUGUUUCUUGAAUUUCAGCAUUUAGGAAUAACAUGGAUGGUUGAACCCAUGGAUACAGAGGGCCAACUGCACAUACAAUGAAUGCUUGAAGUGCACUGAUCUUCAGUGAACAGCUCACUGACUCUUUACAGGUCUCAAACUCGUGAGCUCAAGCGAUCUGCCCACCUCAGACUCCAAAGUGCUGAAAUUAUAGGCAUGAGCCACCAUGCCUGGUCAGCAUUGGGGAGUUUCAAGAACUAUUCCAGCAAAGGAGGGGAACUUCACCACCACUGCAUGUCCUAGGCUUGGAAGUCAGGCAGCAUUGCUUCUGCUGUGUUCUCUUUGUUACAAAUAUUGAAAAUUUGCUACCUGCACCUGCUGCGUUCCCACCCUCUGGAGACCUGGGAACCUGGCUGCAGCCUGGGAAGGCUGGAGAAGCAGAUGGCAGCACCCACCAGCUCCUCUCCCUGUCCCACCUCUUCCCUGGGGAACCAGACCCUACCUGUGUGGUGGUGGGUGGGCUGAUUGUCAA